UCACCACAACUCCAAGUCACUGAUAACACAACUCUGGCUGGGUACUGCCUCGGCUCUCCUACCAGUUGGUAUUUGUAUUGGCAACCAGAAGACAGUGCUUUUGUCAACUGACAUGAGUGGUCGAGGAGGGAGAGGCAGAGCAAGGGGCUGGCAGCGUCAACCUCCAGAUGAACAAGAGAAUUACACCUUGCGUAGACCUGGUCAGGAUGGGUUACAAGAACAAAUGGCAAACUUGCAACUUGAGGGAGGAGGCCAGAGAGGAAGAGGAGGUGAAGGAGGAAGAGGGAGUGGUGAACGAGGAGGAGGAAGAGGGAGUGGU